AUAUUAAUCCGAAAGGAUAGCUAAUACCCUAUAUUGCCUUUUGUCACUAAGGCAAAAGGUGAAAGCGAGGCUGUCAAAGGCUUCGGCUCAAAGAGGGGUUCGCGUCCUAUCAGGUAGUUGGUGGGGUAAUGGCCUACCAAGCCAAUGACGGGUAGCUGGUCUUAGAGGACGAUCAGCCACAGCGGGACUGAGACACGGCCCGCACCCCUACGGGGGGCAGCAGUGGGGAAUCGUGGGCAAUGGGCGCAAGCCUGACCCCGCAAUGCCGCGUGAGGGAAGAAGCCCUUCGGGGUGUAAACCUCUGUCAGAUGGGAAGAUGGGACUAGGGGCUAAUACCUCCUAGUCUUGACGGUACCAUCAGAGGAAGGGACGGCUAACUACGUGCCAGCAGCCGCGGUAAUACGUAGGUCCCGAGCGUUGCGCGAUGUUACUGGGCGUAAAGCGUCCGUAGCUGGUUUCGUAAGCGGAUUGUCAAAGCCCGAAGCUCAACUUCGGCAAGGCAUUCCGAACUGCGUUACUUGAGUCCUGUUCAGGUAGGCGGAAUUCCCGGUGUAGCGGUGAAAUGCGUAGAUAUCGGGAGGAACACAAGUGGCGAAGGCGGCCUACUGGGACGGUACUGACGGUCAUGGACGAAAGCUGGGGGAGCAAACCGGAUUAGAUACCCGGGUAGUCCCAGCCGUAAACGAUGGAUGUUAGGUGUAGUGAUAACUUCGCUGCACCCCAGCUAACGCGUUAAACAUCCCGCCUGGGGAGUACGGGCGCAAGCCUGAAACUCAAAGGAAUUGGCGGGGGCCCGCACAACCGGUGGAGCGUCUGGUUUAAUUCGAUGCUAACCGAAAAACCUUACCAGGGUUUGAAAUGGUAGGAAAGGCUGUCGAAAGAUAGCCGUGUUUCCCUUUUGGGAAAAAUCCUACCACAGGUGGUGCAUGGCCGUCGUCAGCUCGUGUUGUGAGAUGUUGGGUUAAGUCCCGCAACGAGCGCAACCCUUGUCCUUAUUUGCUUCCUCGUAUGAGGUGCUCUAUAAGGAGACUGCCAGCGACAAGCCGGAGGAAGGAGGGGACGACGUCAGGUCAGUAUGCCCUUUAUGCCCUGGGCUACACAGGCGCUACAGUGGCAUUAU
rnacentral:rRNA from 1 species